UUGAAAAGCUCAGAUCCUUGGUUUCAGUAUUCUGACUGGAUAUUUUGUUAGGCUUUGAGAUCUACUAAGAAGGUAACUUCAAAUGUAAUUUAUUUUACUGAAUGCAAUGACAGAAAAGCUAUGGUACUACAUGCUCUGUGUAUUUUAAAAGAAUACAUAGAACAGCAAAAAGGAGCAUUUUCCCUAGUUAAGUUAAAUUAAGGGCUAAUGAGAGCAGUGCUGUGUCAGUUAGCUUGCAAUUUUCUACUGCUACAUCCUCCUCUUAUAUUUUGUCAUAAAUACUUUUAUAUUGGAACAAUUUCAGCUCUUUUACAUCUUUAAAACAGGUCCAUUCUUCCACUGGAGGAUAUUUCAUUAUUUGCAAUUGUACCCCAGUUAUUACGGGGUGUUCAUUUAUAAUUCAGGACUUAAAAAUGUUUCUAUGUUCUGUCAUCUAUGUGCUGUAGCCCAACCCCAGAAGGGUCAGUCCUUGGUGCUGUGGAAGUGGAAGAUGUCUUUUUGAAUUUCUUAUUGUAGGAACUUCAGGGGAAGGGUGACAAAUAUGUGUUGCGUGCAAAUACAUGAGCAAAGCAGGCGUUAGAGGACUGAGGGGAGGGAACAGCAAGCUGGGGUGAAUAAUUCACUGAGCAAUUAGGAGGAUCCGUGAGGGCUGAAAGAUGAGUCAACAUUCUGUGCUGUUUUCCCCAGCCUUUGAAAGGAGCACCUGUGAGCCCUGGCGCCAUUCCUGACCAGGUCAUGUUUGUCCGGCUGCUACACCAUCCAUCUUGCAGUUAUUUAAUCCAGUUUAGAAAAAGGAAGUGAAAUGUUUUAACUGGUUUCCUAAGGAAAUGAAGCUUAAGCAGUCAUUCCACAUGCCAAAUUUCACAGAAUUUUGUGGAAGUCAGCAUCUGGGAUCAGAAGAGAGACUAAAUUAAUGUUGACGCAUGGAAAAAACAAGGCAGCAGUCAUCAGGAUGGUUACUAUGCGGAGGGCUGAACUGGUCACAGUGUAUACUGUUCCUGGCCAAGCUAGUCAACAAGCCCAAAAUUUUAUGCAGAAGUCAUCGAGGAAAGCUAAGAGUAUUGUAGGAAAAAAAAGGAGGGAGAGAGCCGGGUUAAUGAGAGUCACAGGAAGGAUGGAAUGAGGCAGAGAACGAUAAGGUCAGGCUAAGAGAUACAGGAAAGGUCUGAAGAUAUUGUGGUGUGGAUGACAUAUAGAAGACCUGAGACAGAAAUCCUUAGAAAAAAUAUUUUUUUAUUUUUUUUAUGCAGUUCCGUAACUCUGAAAAAAUGUGCUUUUCUAUCCUGAGACAGCAUGAAAGAACAGGGGAAUCAAUAUUAGGUGAUAAUGUCCCUGCAUUUAUAGGGGAGCCGAGAGGGAAGAAUUUCUUCUCAGUGUUACUAAUGCCAGUUACUAGUAGAAGCAUUCGAGGUGCUUGAGAUCAGUUUCCAAGUUAGUGUGACAAUAUGAUGAAAACAUUCUCUCCAUACCUGGAAACUUAACCUCAAUCUGUAAUUUCAAAUCUGUCCAUCUUAAUUGUGCACCUGAUCCCUUUUCUCCAAAGCACCAUCUGCUGCAGUACCAGCAUGAUGUACACAUCACAGCAUUUCAGAAAGAAGAGGAAUUUGGCAUGAAGCAGUGAGAGGAGAUUGGAAAAGAAGGCAGGAAUGCGUAGGGGACCAUGUGCAAGUCGUGUGCGAUGAAAUACGCUGCCCUGGUAAUAGAAAUGGUUUAAAGAAGAAUAGAGAUGAUUUAAAGGAUCACGUGCAAGUCAUGUGCAGUGAAAUAUGCUGCCCUUGUAAUAGAGAUAGUUCAAGUAGCAGAAAUAGUCAACAUGAGAUAGAUGAAGGAAAGAUGAGUGUUUCUUGGAUGGAGACGGAGCAGGAGAAAGAACACUGGCAGCAAAUAAAGGCCUGAAUGGGUAAUUGAAAUGCACUGCCGAGCACAGAGAACCAGCCAGGGAGCAAGCAUGAGCUUUUCGUUCUUCUGCUUUCGUGUGGGGUGACAGAAACCAAUCUAUUGAAGUCAGAGAACACGUUUAAGUGCCUUUUGAAUAUUUUCUGUUAAUGACUCUCCUGGCAGUCCUUCAAAAUCCAUAAGCUUGUUGGUUUAAAGAGCUUUUUUUAUUAACACACUCUCCUUAAUCACUUUCUGUUGUUCUCCUUCAUAAAGGAGGAAAAAAAAAAAAAAGAAAAUAGAAAACAAAAGAAGAAAAAAGAAAAAAAACAUGAAUAAAAACUCCUUAGUCUUUCUAAGGGGAAGAGGACUUGCCAUCUACACAGUUGAAGGAAGCAACUCUUUGAAAGAGUUAGAAAGCAGAAAAUAACAAGAUAUCUUAACCUGAACAACCAUUUUUCCGAGAAAAGUCCCAUCAGAGUUCCAGACCCGAGCGGACGGAGGAAGAAAUGCAGCCGACUCAAUAUGAGUGAUAAAGCAUACUUCAACUUUAUUGCCCGAGAUAGCGUGCAUUUAUACCAAAUACCAUAAUUAUGCAUACUUGUCUCUAUCUAAUAGGCUAAGCACAUUUACUUACUCCACCUACUUGGGUUUAGCUAGCUAUGCGCAUCCCGCAUUCUUCUGACUCUUAUCUCUUCAAAAAUAUCCUGACCCUGCCUUAGUUAGUACUUUUCCGUUCCCCCUUUUCCCACGGCCUAACAGACAAGCUAACUAAGGCCUACUUAUGUCAACUAAAAUGGGCUCUGCUCGUACAGUUGCUUGGUGGACUCAUGUCUGUGCUCCUUGAGCCAAUCCCCGACAUUUUUCUUCUUUUUUUUUUUCUUUUUCUUCAAAGAUAAGGUAUUUCUUCAGAAAUGCAGAUUUUUGAAAGAGUUGUGGUCUGUGGUUUUCACAGUUCUCUCUCAAACUUCAGUAAUUUGUAGUCAGAAGAAAGUGCAUCAGAAUAACUUUUAAGCCGUUACCAUCAGACAGCACUACAGUUUGAUGGAUAGAGGCAGAAGGUAGCACUGGUGUAAGAACAUUUUUUUGUACAAGAAGGGAUAACUCUUGUUCUUUGUGAUACGAGCACUUGCUUAAAUUAUUGCAAUAUAUCAUAUAAUUUAAUGAAGAGAUCAUAAAGUUACCUCUGAGGUUGAUUGUGAAAAGAGCUGUGUAUGACUUCAAGGCACUGAAUGAAGGUAACUUAAUGAAGAGAAGAAAAAAGAAAUGGAUAAAGGCCGUUUCAGAAAGUGCUUCACUUAUGAAGUUUAUGCAUUCUUCAUUGUAAUGACACAGGAUAUUCAGCUGGAGUCUUCCAACCAUAUAUUCUCAUAAUCGACAUCUUUAAACUUGAGAAACAAGAAAAGCCAGGAUUAGAGGAUUUUCUAAUAACUUGUUUUUAUUGGCAAAUCUGCUUUUCUUGAUCAGUCUCUUUCAUAUGCAGGUUUAAGCGUAACUUGCAUGAAUUGAGUUUACAGAUAUAUCAAAACAAAAGCUCUCUUUCCAUCAUUAAUAGGUUGGUUUUGUGAUUUUGAACUAGUCUGUCCUGUGAAACUAAGCUUAGAACUGUUCUUUCAAUAUCUGGGAGCACUCAAAAUAUCAAUAACUCUCAACAAUCUGAAACAAAGUAAAAAAAUAAUGCAUUUUAAUGACUAAGUGAUAUAAAUAUAAUUUAUCACUGUUUCAAUGGAAUCCAAUGUCUGUGACUGCAAACUAACUUCAGACUGAGAACUUGCUUUACUUAAAAACUAAGCAACUCACAUAGCCAGUGCAUGUCUUGUUAAUGAAAAAAAAUAAAAGAAAAAAAUCUUAGUAUUCAGAGGAAGAUAUAUUUACUUUGAAACAAGAUUUAACAAUUGAAAAAUCUGUUUUUUAUUUUUAAAUGCGAUUUCAUAAUCACAAAUGUUUCUAACUGAUAUAGUCAGCACGAAUAGUUCAGUCUGUGGCAUGAGCACAGCUUGACAACAUAUAGUUAUUGAGAAUUAUUACAGGGGAAUAGAGUACUAAGCCUUGAGGACAAGUGGUCAAUAGCAAACAAGACAAAAAGCAGAAAAAGUUGUUCAUUUUUCAUUUGGUGUUUGGAUAUCAAAGACAUUUUUUUUUGCUGCAUCUUGAAGGGUACAGAGAAAAGGAGCAGAGCUCUAGCCUGCUUUUCUGGACAACAAGACAACAUUCGCUAUCAGGAAUUAUGCAUGUCUUUCAUGUCACAAGGUCUGUAAUAUUUCAGAGAACCAUUGCCAAUGCAUGUCUGAAAAUAAUUAAUUCCUGAAGAUAGAGCACUCAACAUGAUCUCAGCUGUGAAAAGCAAUGACAACACUGUGCUUCAGUUCUCUGCUUCUGGGAACAAUUUGGUUUGGGAUCCUUUUUUCUUGUCUCUUUCUCCACAUUUUAAAGCACUGCUUAUUAAAAAAAAAAAUACAUUUAGCCAUAUUUUGUUUUCUUCUUUUUUCUUCUUCUCUUUUCUCUCUCAUUUUCCAGCCUGGCUGAAGAAUGUCCAAAACAGUCUGAAGUUCAAAGGCGUGCAAGCAUGUAUUCCAAUGCAUGUUAACAUGUUUUUGAAACCAUAAGAGUCCUGGCAUCUUACUAGAGGAAGCUUCUAUCAUCUCCCAGUUGUGAAAUUCUGAGAGCUAGAUUGUGGUUUUAUAUGCUCUGCCUGUUAUGACAAUAAGUUUACCUUUUCAGAGAUUUCAGUUUGUGAGCGCUUCCGUGAGCAUUGCUCUCCCCUUUUCCCCUUCCUUCUUUUUCCUUCCCCUUUACCAUAAAACCCAAACCAAAAUAAACACACAACAACAAAAACCUAAAAAAUAUCCGACUGUGUACAAGACAGAUAACAUUUUUUAAAACAGUCUUUUAAAUAGAUAAUCUGCCAAAAGAGAGAAGAGAAACUGCACUGCCAUGCCCUUACCAUUGGUACAUGCAUAAUGCUAGGCAGUGACCAGGUUCUUGGUUAUCAUUUUUAACUGUUGAUUUCUCCGGCUGUGUUAUGCAGGCUUAGUAGCAAAAAAGAGGGAAAAUUCUGGUUACACUGAAGAUGAAUUGUCUGAAACAAAUCACCACUUCAUUUUAAAAGUAUAUGAAGUCUGUAAAUUUACUGCUCUUCUAAAACUUGAAAACUGAUUAUUUGAUGAGAAUACACGGCAUAAGUGUCUGAUUCACCUACCGAUUUUUCACUGACCUUUCGACUUCCUUGCUGCUGGGGGACACAAAUUCUGUGAUCCUGUCUUCAUGCUGUUUCUUUUUGUCAUUAUCCAUGAUUCAUCUUCCCUGUGACUUGUCAAAUUUGAGUUAUUUUUAAUCCUUUUCUGGGCCUCCCUAAGGGCAUUAUAUCAUAUCUCUUGACACUGUACAUAAUCUCUCAGUCCCUAUUGUCCUACUCUAUUCAGAUUCCUUGUGUUUAUUUCCUACCCUUGACAUCGUUCCAACUAUUAUUCCUCUUUUUAAAUAAAUCUGCAAAUUUGGACAACCUACAACCACUUUCAUUUUUCCAAACAAUUUAUAUGAGCCCAUUAAACAGAAUCAGUCACAGUCACAGUAACACAGAAAUCCUUCAGGGCCUCAGUUGUUAUCUUCUCAUUUGCAGUAGAUUGUUCUGGGACACAAUUUUCUGCUAAAAUAUAGUUUAGCUGGUUUACUUUAACCUCUCACUUCAUUAGCUGUAGCAAUAUCUGGAAAAAGUGCAACCAAUCCUACAUGUUUAAAAAGCAGAUUCUGUUUAAAACAAAAAUAUAGCUGUUGUGCUGGGCUGGGUUUUCUUUAUUUAUUAACUAUUAAAUCUGGGUAUCUUGUAGAGGGGCUCCUUUACCCAUUGCAAUGCCUUUGUGCUUACUCAAGAAAUGUAGUAUUUGCAAGGCUUUUCUCAAAAUAACACUUUUGCACACUGAUGUGACCAUUGAUUCCAACUUGCAAUAUUUAAAUGAAAGGAGACUCAAACCUGUUUGCAUUUGUUCCAGAAAAGAAGCUGGAAUUAAGGUUGUGUGUUUGUUUUUGUCAUGGUGGUGUUUUGUUUUGUUUUUCACACCACUCACCCCCCGCCCCCAGCCGCCUUGAUAAUGUAACAGUUAAACUCUUGUGGCUAAGUAGUUCAAGAAUUUUGACAAUUCCACUAAAAAUGAUCUUCAUAAACCUCAGGAAUUUAGAUAAUCCUCUCAUCUUUAAAGGAACCAGAACACUUUCAAAAACAGGAAAAGCACAGUUUAAACAUCCAAGCAGUUGCAAUUCUGCCAUGUCAUGACUUUUCAGUCUUACUUCUAUGUAAAUUACUGUUUUCAGGACGUAGAAAAUUAUAUACAACAGUAGAGCUGCUGACAUUCUUGCAUGGGUUUUAGAAGAAAGUUUCACUAAUGCUUAGGAUCAGCUUAACUCAUUUGGAGAACUGAAAACGGAGCUACAAAAUAAAAACUACUUUGUUUCUAGAGUCUCUACUCAUAAAUGAUAUCUUUGUUUAUUAAUAUUGCAUGUGAUUUACAGACUCUAAAGCUGUAAUAGUAAAUGACUGAUUUCAAUAGGAAUUAGUGUUUAGACAACUGUGAAAUAUAUAUAUGCAGUCCAGUGGAAGUUGUAUGGCUGUGAAGAAAGUAAUAUUUUGCAAGUACCUAUGUAGAAUUAAAAUGAGUGUGUCUGGGUGUGGGACUGAACCAGAGAGUGUUUAACUGGCAUGCUAGUAUUUUUUUUUUGUUUUUCAUUAUUUUUCCUUGUAAACUUAACAAGACUAGAUAAAGAUUAAAUGUAUGGAACAGUAUGGGUUUGUUUUUUUUUUUUUUUUUUACAUCAAGAAAGUGAGUUAAAAUUCUCUUCAUUGUGGGAUGACUGAGAUGUAACAUCAGGAAAGAUCAUGCUGAGGAUGAGACAGGGAUUAGUUUUGAAAGGAUGUGGGUUAUUCAGAGUUACAAAAAGCCAUAUUUUAAGAUGUGCAUUAAACUGAGUCUUUGAUUUCUCAUUUCACCCAACACGGCCAACACAGGACAUUAUACUGAUACCCUAUAGUGUCUGACAGUUCUCUUUGAACUACCAACUGUUCCCCAGAGGCUAAAAAAACCUGAGACUAAAUUGCUCCUCUUGCUGAGGACUUAGAUGGAUGCUCGUUACUGAGAGGGGCAGUUCGGAAACCUGGGGGGCUGCGUGACCUGAUAUUGGAACUGAGGGCUCAGCCUCAUCCCUGACAGCUUCUUGUCAGGUCUCCUCACCUGGAGAUGGUCAGCUGGUUAGCAAACUGCCAAAACCUCUGGCUCCUGUGUACUUCUGUCCAGGAAAGAAAAUUCAGCUCUAAAAAGUAGGACUACUACCUUAUUUUUCUAGGUUGAUUUAAAAUGCCAAAGAUUCAAGCUUUAUCAAACACAUCAGAUUCAAUGUAGAUCUGACUGCUUUUGUAUAAUGAAGGACUUGUCUAAGCAAAGCUUGUUCCACUGUUGUGGGUGGCAACACUUUCUGUGUAACUGAACUCAAACCUUAGGUCCUGGAGUUUCAUAUGCAUUCACCCAAUAUCCUGUUCAUUUCUCUAGCUCAUCCAGUUAGUGGCUUAUUUGAAUAUCCAGCCCAUUAUACACACUGAAACAAAUUAUUUUACUUUGUAAAACUAAUUAUAUGUCCUGAAAAGGUGAAAUGGUUAUGUUUUCAAACCACCUAUGGCUUAAAAAAAUAAAUAAUUUAAAAAAUCAGCAGUGAUGUUUGCAAAGGUCAUGAGCAGCAGGGAUAGCUUAGGGUUUUUUGUUAUUGUUUCCAGUUGCGUUGUGUGGACUACUGCAGUCUUUGGCUGUUACAAGAAUGGGAGGUGAUAUAAGAAAGACUGAUCAUUUAUGUGCAUUUAUGAAUGCAUUCACCUCUCUUUUGAAAUCAGUUGAGUUAGAAGAAAAACAAUGUGAAAGAUUGAUUAUUAAAUACUUCCAAACUAGUACAAAAUUCUCAUGUAAACUUGUCAGUAGUAGCUGAAUGAAUUAGUGAAAGGAUUUCCAGCCACCAGCAAAGAAGAAUAAGAAGAAUAAGAAUAGCAAUAAGAAGUUUCCUUUCUAGUAGUAAGAGGCUCCUGGGCAGAACGUGGUCUUGAUUUUGUGGAGUGUGUCUCAAUCAUAUGAAUUUAUGGAUAAGUACAUCUUACUGUUUUUAGAUCGCAUGCCCUUCUAGUGGUGGAUUAUGAGUCUUAGAUCUUGAUAGAUAGUCAGCUGGCCUUAUCUGCUCCUUUCUUUCUCACUUUUGGAAAGCUUGUUUAAUAUUUAUUCUGUACCUUUUCUAGUUUUGAGCUGAUAAAUACUCAACAUUGAAACAAUAUAAAAAAGUCAAUGUUUUUGGAGUUUUUCAGAAUGAAAAUGCCUGAUCUGAUCUUGUUUCACUUUUUCAGAAAAUAAACAGGAUGCAAUAAAUUUUUAUUAUCUUCUGCUCCAAAACUUUGGCAGAUUAGCUGCAAAACAAGUUUUGUUUGACAACGUUGUAUAAAUACUUUUUUCUUGAAUGGUGGUGAUACCAAAAGAUUUAAAACCAAAGGCUUUGAAGUAUUGUCUAAUUGUUUCAGUAUAUACUGCAUUAAGAAAUGUUUUAACUUUUGUAGCUUUGAAGGGUGUCUUAAUAUUAAGCAAAAGCUGGUGUGCUUCUGCACCACAUGGAAAUGAGGAAAUAUUCAAAAACGCUUUUCCUUUCUGAUAGCCUUUUAUUGGGUGAUGCUGAGCGACCACUUCAAAGAGGAAAACCCUGCAUUUGUGUGUUUGCAUAGAUCUUAGCUCCAGCCUAACAGGGGCCUAAGGAACUGGUGUAAUAAAAAAUGUUUGCAGAAGUUUUUGGGAAAAAAAGCAAUGAAUUAAAUCACACUUUUGUGAAAUUGGAAUCUCAAUCCCUUAUUGUUAGAAAUGGUGGAUUAUAUGGGUUCCUUUUAAAAAAUAGAGGGGAAGACUAUUUCAAUAAACAGUAUCAGAAAAAAUCAGACAAAAUACAGAAAAAGGACAACCAAAAUGUGUUUAUUUUAUUGAAUUUGGUAGCAGAAGGGGGAAAAAAAAAAGAGAGAGAAAAAAAAUAGAUGUGAAAUGUAAGAAAAAAGACAUCAAUAAGUCUGAAAAAAAAAAGAAAGCUCUAUGAGUUUUCAGCUUAAAAAGAAAACCUUUUAAAUAUCUUAGACUAUCCAUUUUCAAAUGCCCUAGUUGUCCAUUAGGUUUCCUACUGGUGUAGAGCAGUGGUUAUGUUGCAAUAUUCCAUUCCAGCAGUUUGCGUUUAUUCCUGCAUUUGCAAGGGUAGGUACCAUUUCAGGAUGGGAACUAACUGGGUCUUAGACCUGUAGAAAGAACUUCAGAGGAAAAAUCACUGAGUAGGAACUAGCCUUUUAAGGGUGUCACUUUUUGCAAAUAGGGAACUCUGGAAGAGGAGCCUGAGGAUGAAAGUAGCAAAUAACUCUAUGAAAAAAGCCUUUAGGUAUUCAUCUGCCUUUCAAUUAGCAUGUGCUCUGUGUUUGUGGUCUUCUUACCUUAAGAUACCUUUCAUCUCUGUGAAUUUUUAUCUCAACUCUUAUGAAAAUGGAACAAAAGAUUGAAGGUUUUAAGUAAUAUUUUGAAGUAUUGUUUUAAGAGAAUAUUGAGCCUGAUGAAAAGAAAGAGGAUUUUUUGAGUGAGCACUUGAAAUAUGUGAAAUUUUAUAUAAAUGAAAAGUUCACCUUUCAAAGCUUUCUUAUGUUUUCUAGUAAUUUCCCUACUGUGAUACCUAAAAGAAAAAUAAAACUAUUAGAGGCUUUUCCUAGUGUGAGAUAAUAGAUAUUCUAAUGACAGGAAUAAAUACAUUGUAUGACAAACAGAACAAGAGCAGGAACAAAGGUACUAUUGUGCUUAAAACUGUUGGAUGACAUUUAAAAGAUGACAUACUUUUCCUAGAUUAUAAGGAUGCAGUAACAGCGAAGGAUACACAUUCUACAUAUAGAUACAUAUAUUCAAUAUAAAUAUUUUAUUUUCUUUUGCACUUGUCAAAGAUUACUUUUAAAAAUUACGCAACAUUUAUUUUAUUCUCAGAAGUGUUUGACAGUGUUCGCUGUUGGUAUUGUUGUUGUUUGGUAUUGUUGCUGUGGUGGCGUGGUUUGUUUUUUUUUGUUGCCUUUUUUUUUUUAACAAUAACUAAUCGUGAAAUUUAGCUCAAAUGGAGGUUUUCUUGUUCAUUCAAUAUUAUUUCACUAUAAAAAUACCUAUGCGGCAUCGUAGAUGGUGCUGUAUGAUCCAGAAGUACACAACCUCGUUAAUCUCAUGUGAAAGCCAGAUGUGAUUCCAUACACAGAUAAAAAUGUCAGGCAAUAUAAACUAAUAGCGUAGUCUUAUGAGAAAUAGUCUUUUGAAUGGUAUUUGGUUUCCCUAUGCACAUUUUCUCAUCCUUUUCCAAAUAUCCACAGAAGACUCAUAGAGCAGCUGACCACUGGACUUGUGAAUUUCAAUGGAACCAGACUUUCUGGAAGUACCAGUGAAAAAUAAGCCAAAGGGAAAUUUUUGUUUGAUUUUUCUGGAUAUGUAGUGUGUAUGACUUUUAGUUUACUCAUGGGCUUUCCUGUUCAUUAGAAGUAAAUCUGGAGCUAGAAAACCCUUUAAAAUUAAUCUGUCCAAUCUGGCUGAAGCACUCAGGUUUGCUUUUCCUCGUCUAUGUAAAUCUGACAUCACAACAGCCCUGGGUGCUUUCAAAGAGAGAAAGGGGAUGUUGCCAAAAGAGGUCCAGCACAAACAUCCUUACUAUGCUCCUGACUGGCUUGUCAGGGAAAAUAAGACACAAAAAUGUCUGGCAGAGUGAGCUUUCAUAGAAGAAAGGAAUGGAUUGUAGCAUUAGGUGAAUCUCUUCAGAAAUGCAGAGGUCCUCACAUGCCAACCCAUGGGUGCUAUCAGUAAUUAUGAUACAACCAUAGCAGGGCGGAAAUGAGGUGCUGGAGUGAGUUCAGAGAAGGGCGAUGGAGCUGGUGAGGGGUCUGGAGCACAAGUCUGAUGAGGAGUGGCUGAGGGAACAGGAGCUGUUUAGCCUGGAGAAAAGGAGGCUGAGGGGAGACCUCAUCUCUCUCUUCAACUACCUGAAAGGAGGCUGUAGCGUGGAGGGUGCUGGUCUCUUCCACCAAGUAACAAGUGUUAGAACGAGAGGAAAUGGCCUCAAGUUGCACCAGGAGAGGUUUACAUUGGAUAUUAGGAAAAAUUUCUUCAUGGAAAGGAUUGUAAAACAUUGUACAGGCUGCCCAGGGAAGUAGCUGAAUCACCAUCCCUGGAGGUAUUUAAAAGAUGUAUAGAUGAGGUUCUUGGGGACAUGGUUUAGGAUGUUAGGGUAAGGGUUGGACUUGACAAUCUUGAGGAUCUUUUCCCACCAAAAUGAUUCUACAAUUCUGGUCUAUGAUCUGAAUGCCAUACAGAUCUUUGGUUUCUGCCUGGGACCAUGAGAGUAGUCUGAAGAAAUCUCUCUCCCCAAGUACUGCUGAUUUUUAUUUACUUGUAAUCUGUUUCCUAGCUUCUAGGCUGACAUCAGCUGCACCUUCUGACUGGGCUGUUCUUCCUUUCCACAGUUAGCAUUUUGAUGAGAUCAAGAGCAAAUGCUCUCUUAGGUAAUCACACAGAAGAGGAAGAUAAGAGUGCCUAUGCCACUAUUGCACUUUUUGGGUGCUCUUCUCUCAGGUGGGCACUGUGUUUAGAGAAUUGUUUUGGCUUUUAGCUCUUUUCCAGUUUUUAACUCUUCAGAAGCUGGAUUUCCUGCAUGACAGACAUAUUGCUCUGUACUUGUCUGAAACACACAGUCUCCCUUUUCACCUCUCUUUGAAGUGUACCCUUUUAAUGCGAAUGGGCUACUUCUAGGGGGAGACUUAAUUGCCUUUUUUUUUUUUUUUUUUUUCUGAACAAGGAAUAGCUAUUCCUUUGAUUUUAUUGUCUUUGGAUGCUUCAAGUGGCUCUGAGGAAGAACAUUUGAAAUAAUGUAUUGAUAUUUCAGAUAGAUCUCUGACAGCCUUUCAUGGCUACUAAUGCCAAGCUGUGGUUUUGCUUUCAUCAAGUUGCUUUGUAAAAACUGUAUUGUUAUGUGAGAUAUUCUCCUAAUCUUUCAUAUUUUAAAGAGAAAUAAGCAUGCAGGGAGAAGUAACUAAUGAGUGUGUGCACCAAGGUUAUGAAAGGUUGGACUGAAGGCAGAUAGAGAUGACUUGUCUGUUGAGAACAUCCUGGUGGCACAGAGCUAGUUUAGAAAAGCAACUCCCUGGUGCUCUAUACCCAGAAGCACACAGGUGUCCCCAGCUUGUGUGGUCCCAUUGCUUUGGGCAAGAUGGAAAGCGACUUUCAGUGUUCUGCAAGUAGUGUAUGUAACUGGGUGAAAAGGUUUGUAUCUGUUUCCAAGCUGAUAUGAUUUUGCCCAGGAUAAGGUAUUGCAUAAUUUUUCUCUCCCUUAUACAGGAGUGCCACUUCCCAUUGUUUGGUACAGUCUAUUUAUGGUGGCAGGGAUUUCAAGUCAUUUGGUACAGGAAAACUGCUAACAUGAAAAGUUAGUUUUGCUGUUCCGGUAGAAAAUGGUUUCUGAAGAUAGUAGCAGUUUUAAGUAGCAGAAGUAGGAAAACAUUUAAAUUGCAAAGCACUUGCUUGGCUUCUCACCACCACUUAUGUUGCCACUUACAAGCUUUUACAUUUCUGCUCUUUGUUCUGCUGGAGCGAAUAUAUUGGUAGAGAUCUGCAUAUUCAUAUUAUUUGAAGAUAAACAGACACAUACUGUGGUCUGCUUCUCAGUGUCACGUAUUAAUGAGACCCCACCUGGAGAACUGUAUCCAGCUCUGGAGCCCUCAGUACAGGAAAGACAUGGACCUCUUGGAGAGGGGCCAGAGGAGGCCACAAAAAUGAUCAGAGGUCUGGAAUGCCUCUGUUAUGAGGACAGGCUGAGAGAGUUGGGGUUGUUAUGUCUGAUGAAGGCUCCAGGAGAGACCUUAUUGCAGCCUUUCGGUACUUAAAAGGGGCCUCUUAAAAAGAUGGUGACAGACUUUUUAGCAGGGCCUGUAGCAGUAGGACAAGGUGUAAUGGCUUUAAACUAAAGCAGGGGAGAUUAACACUAGAUACAAGGAAGAAAUUCUUCAAAAUGAGGGUGGUAAAAUAGCGGCACAGGUUGCCCAGAGAGGUGGUAGAUGCCCCAUCCCUGGAGAAAUUCCAGGCCAGGCUGGACAGGGCUCUGAGGAACUGAUCCAGUUGAAGUUGUUCCUGCUCAUCAUGGAAGGGUUGGCCUAGAUGACCAUUGAAGGUCCCUUCCAACCCGAGCUGUUCUAUGAUUCUGUGAAUAUUGGCUAUAUAGAUAGGUGUCUUAAACUUUUGUGUUUGUGUCAUGAGAAGCUUGCAAAACAGUAGUAAAACUGAAGUGUUAUCAUCUGUAUAGUUUUGUAGAAAACACAGAAUAUCAGCUGCAGUGUUCAACUCAAACCAACUCUGUUCUGCAAAUGGCUCCCUGAGGGCAGAAAAGAGGAGACAAGAUUAAUUUUCUCAUGACCGUUUGUUUGACUAUUAUCAGCCAGCAUCCUCAUAUUAACACAUUAUUGUCCAGAUAAGAUGGGCUGAGACUAAAUGCUUUCUUUGUGGCAGUGGGCAUAAAACAUCUCAAGAACCAGAAGAGAUCAGAAAACUCCACCUGCUCAAAACCUGACUUUUUUGGGGCAUGGAUUUUGUUAUUCCAAGAGGGACAAACUUGAGGGAAAGUGAGCUUGUAUGUGGUCUCAACCAAGUCUCAAGUGCUUGUGAAUCUUGAUUGCCAUACUGGGGACUUCAGUCAUCACUCUGAUGGUAAGCACUGCUCUUGCAUGUGAUUCCUGCAAGCCGUGUGGUGGUACCAGGCUGCGCUGCCCGUUAUGGUGGCUUUCCUCAGGACUGGAAUGUCGAGGAGUACAGCCCUCUCCUAAAGGUGGUUUCACCUUCCUGUGUUUUACUGUGAUUUCAUCUGUUUCUCAAUAGAUAUCUUAUUCUUCCUUUCUAAGUUUAUAGAUGGAAGUGAAUGCAGAAGUAGUCUGAAAGGAAACUGUGUUUUUCUUGCCAUACGUUAUAGUAAAAACCCACUGAACACAAUUUCCAUAGUACUAGCCCUACAGCAAAGCACUGAAUUGUUGAAAUAUCAAUUUUAAAAGUUGUUCCUAUGCAGAUAGUGAAGUAAAAGAUACAGAUGGAGUGAGUUCUUUCACCUCCCGUUAAUCCAGAUAUGACUUUUGAUGCUGAAGUCUGAGCAUCUCAUUCUGAAAAUGCUGCUUUGUUCCCAAAGUCUGAUCUAUACUGGUAAGAUGAUGUUACUCUUCUUGGACAGCUACAUCUGACUCAAGUAUGAAGUAAGAUAAUUCUCAGGCAUUUGUGCCAACUAUAACAGUUCUAGUCCUUUUAAACAUAAAUGGGAGACUACUGUGCUAAAUCAUUAUGAUUUUACAUAGAUGUGUAUGCACCUACCUAUCAGCUCAUACUGUUAUAAAGAGUCUAAAAGGUAGAAUGCAGAUGCCUUAAAAUUGUGUAUUUUCCAUACUGUACAUUUGUGUAAUAAAUGCUAUAUUCUUACCUUUAUAAAAGUUACAGAAGUGUUUUCCUGUUGUUUGCAAUAUUUGCUCUUUAUUUGCCAGGAGGAGCUCAACAGGAUGAAACUCGUGUUUCACUCUUGUGUAUUCAGUGAACUGGGUUUUAUAUUUUUAAAUACUGUUUUUUUCUGGGAAGUGGUAAAUAUAUUUUACUCAUUACUUUCUUAGCUAUAUAUUCAGGGCCAGUUAAAGACUAUAGUUGAAUUUAAAUAUAUUAACUUUUAUUGGGGGAACAGUUGCUUUUCUUUUUUCUUUGUAGGUUUCUUUUUUUUUGAUAAAGGAAAGUGUGGUUCUGUAAUGACAUCUUUUUUUUUGUCUUUUAUUAUAGAGCUCCUUUUCAAUUUUAUAUAUGCAUGUGUCAGGGAGGAUUAGCUGUUAUCUCUUUGGUCAUUGUUAUAUUCACUGAGAAGUUUACAUUAUUCCUUGUAACUAGUGUAUGAAGCCUUUUUCCAGAAGGAUUCAAACUGAACCUCCGUAUUUUUUGUACACAAUCCACACACUCUUCUUGAAAAGAGCCAAGAUAGUAAACUCAGAACACUGGACUGAGUUUUCCUGACCUCUGGGUUAUUAAAGAUAGUGAUUUGGACUUUUUUGUUCCAAUUCACUUUUUCUAAGAAUGACUGUCUGGGAUAAACACUAGUCUAAAUAAGACUGGCUUAAGACAUCUUUCUGAGGCUGUCUCUGUAAGAGGUUUUAUGCCUUAAAUUUGCAUAUCCAAAAUGCUCUUUGGAAAACACACGUCUUUUAUUUUUUUUAAUUCCAUUAGCAAACUUGACUACAAUGUCCUUAGGGCUUCAUGCAAAAGAUGUCAUAUCAAAGUGGUUCCAAUGAGAACAUUACUUUUUCAGGAGUAUUAAGUGUACUUGUACUCAAGAAAUGCUAGACUCUUUCAAUAGCAGAAACAAAAUCUUUAAUAGGGAGAUACACCGAGGAAAUGGUGAGCAAAUGUAAAUGGAGCCUCAGGUAUAUGCCUGAUCUUGGAAAAAACUGCAUUGUAAGAAUCAGAAUCAGUCUUCCAUGGUCCAUCCUCCCCAGCCCCACUCUCUAAAAUUCUAAGUGAUGUGUUGGGUAUCAGAUGUUGCCCCACAUAUGUACCUUGUGCCACUGGACUCAUGUUGCAUCUCCUGGGGUCCCCAUGGGCACCUCCUUUGCUGCUGGUGUUAGUAGUGGCUCCCUGUGCUCUCUGUUGCUGCACAAAUCCUGUGCUCAUUUAUAUUCAGACCUUCAGUGUGUGGGAGAGUACCUAGUGAAAGGACCACACUUGCUUUAAAAGUCUGUUUGUUUUCCUUUUGUGAAAUCCCAUUAUAAGGCACUUGACUGUUGUACAUGACAUGCAUCUGAUAGAUGAGAAAGAAACGAACAACAGAGGAGUGGGUUGUUUUUCUGUUAUUAGCUUGUUUUAUGCAGCCACCUGUCAACCUCCACCCUUUUUCUACCUCCCAAAAGCUGAUGAACAUGCUGACCAACAUCAACCAAAUCUCUCCCGAGCAACGAGUCCCAAAGGGAUGCGGUUCCUGGAAAUGGAUGCUGCUCCAUGGAGCGUGUCACCACCCGGGUUACUUGUGUGCCAGCAGCCCUGUGACCCCAUCCCAGUUUAAGCAAGAAUCCCUGAGGUAGAGCUUGGCACCAAAUCUAGAACUCCACGACAGGAGCAAUGUCUCUCUGUGACUAAAGUGCAGAUGGGAGAAGGACUCACCAGCUGAGGAAUCAUGUGUCACCUGUAUAGCAUGUCUACAUCUUGCUGUAGAUCAGUACCAUGUAUCCUAGCUAAAGCUGAGAAGGAGCAUAAUGGAAAGUGACACUGAAAAAUCACAGGUGGAUAAAAGUUGUGGCAACACCUUUUACAGCUGAAAAAUACCUGUCUCAAAGAUAAAGAUUGUCCUUUAAAGUUGUGAGAAGCUAUUGGUUUGGGGAAGAAAUCUUUACCAAGGUCAUUCUAUUUGCUGCAUAACUUGCACUUGUUCGCUUACAUCAGGAGGACCCUGCAGUGCACAGCAGUACCUUGAGAUGACAGUUAUUCUGAUUUGGAAUUUUGUGUACAAUAAUUAAACAGUCAGGUACCAGCAGACAUGUGUUACCCUGAGAUAACACACUCCUUGGAAGUAUCAUGAGGCAGAAGGUGAAAUUAGUGCCUCCAAUGACCUGGGAAACACAUUAUCUCACUACUGCACAAGCUUGAGAGUGUAUUGUUACUGUAUACCAACUAUUAGCAUUAUUAGUUGCAUCAUGAUUGAUUUCACUAUGUAAAACAUAUGUUUAAAACAUGUUCACCGCUGUGCAUCAUGUGAUAAUUAUGUCUGACUCUGAAGGCCCAAUAUAUCAGCUGUGAGUCAAUAGAGCACAUAGUCUUGUGUUUUGUUUCAUUUUGGUUUUUUUCACUCAAAUGUGUAAACUGGCAAAAGUUAUGUCGAAAGGGACUUUAGCAUCAGAGUCUCUCAACUUCAACAAAACUGGCAUCCAUAGUGCAGCAGAGAGAGGACUCAUACCUGAUUGCCUCAAGUGGACGGUUCACGACUGUUGUAAAUUACAGACGUGUAAUGCUUUGUUACAAAUCUGUGCAUGUGUCUGUGUGUUUGCAUGUCCCAAGUGAUCUUCACACUAUUUAUUUUUAACCUGCAAUUAUUUUUGUCCUCCCUUCCCAGUGCCUGGUCCUGUCAGUUGUUUCAUUUUUCAAGCAACUGACAGGAAACAUUUUUUCCACUGCUGAAGAGCCUGGCACAGUACCCAGGACGCGGGCUGGCUGGUUAGCAGAGCCCUGGCAGACAAAGGGCUUUGUGCUGCUUGCUCCUUCUUGCAGCUCUGCAGCAAAGGCACCACAUCAGAAGCAAGCAAAGGUCUGUCUUUGAGCUACUCAAGAAAUCAAAGGAUGUGGAUUAAAACAAGAAUGGUGACUGAUUCCCGUAGGAGAUCACUUUGCUCCUUCAUUUGAUAUAAUGAACAGGAUAAUCAAAGCAAGGUUAGAAACCCCCUGUUCCUUUUCUCCAAGGAUUUUUGUGAUGUCACUUCACAAGGUAUUGCAAUAAUUGAACACAUAUGUGAUAAUGAUUUUAAAAAUGGUUUCCUCUUUUUACCUUAGAAUAAUUUACAUAUAGCUGCUCUGGGAAGGUGUGUAUCUCAUGAGUCAUCAGGCUUGUAGUUAAACAAGUUAAGCCUUAUUACACCUGUAGCUGUUUGUUUCUUUGCCUCUUAGUAUCUUUUGGUCUUUGUUCAAAAUAGUUACAGUGCCUACAUAAGGAGUAUAUUUCAAAGAGAUAGUGGGAUGUUGCUUUUCAAGUUCCAAUCUAAAAAUGAAGCAGAAAUACAGUUCACGCUCAGAGAGAGGAGCAUGAGAAGGAAGACAGACGCUGUGGUAAGAGACACCAGGUUUGGCUGGAUUAACAGCCUACUGACUCACAGUAAUUGCUCUUUCCUUUUAAAAUCAGUGUGCUGCCAGGACUGUGCUGGUUUCUCAACAAGGUUCCCUGGAAGAUCAUGAACAAAUUGCUACCCACGUCCUGCAUGCAUGCUGUGGCCAAGCGUGCUUCCAGGGGGUAAAUGUGAAGUGGGUUGACCUCUGGGGCUUCCCUGGUGGCUCCACAUCAAUGUCUCCCUUUGUGUACCCCUCUCAAUGCUGGGGGAUGCCAUCCUCUUCCACUGCCUAUGCAUGAUGAGGGGUGUCCCAUGAGCCACAUCCAGCUGUGUUUGCUGUUGUGUCCCAGGAGAAUCCAAGAGAAACAUUUUCUGGGCUGGCAGUAAUGCGGUGACCCUGGGUCUCCCCACCACCUCUUGUCAUAGCUGGUACCAUGUGAAAGCACAAGUAGUGCUUUAAUGUGAAGGGGACCGUUAUGUCAUUUACUGGCAAAACCUGCCAUAUAAGUGAAAUGUGCUACCUAAUGUGUUUUAGACAAGUUGGUGAUGUUUCUUUUUUUCCUUUUCCUUUUUUUACAAUGAGGUUAAGAUGGCAGUGCAGGAUCUCAGCUAAUUCUAUGCUGGCUUUCUUUGCACUUCAGUUGAAUCCACAUGGGAUAUUCAGCUCCGCAUUACUGCUAUUUCUCACUUUAAUGACCCUGGUAAAUCUUUAAUGAUUGCCAUCUCUGUCAGAAGGGCACAAAGGGCCCUCAUCUGUCUUGAUGCAACCUAAGAAAAUAUGCUCACAGAUGUCAAUUAAAAUAAUGGCAUUGGUGGUAGGUCACUUGUAUUUUUAUGAGUACCCACCUCUUCUUGCAAAAAGAGGCCUAAAAUUCCACUCAUAAUCAUUAUGAUCACUAGAAAAAUGGUAAAAGUAGAUGUCCUAGGUUUUGUUUCAAUUAAGCAGCGUGGAACAUUCUAGGCAAAAUGAAUUGGGAUGGGCACUUCACAGAAAUGGCAGGAUCAUUUCAGUAAGCCAGAGUACCUGAGAUACAAGCUUCUGUGUUUUUUGUGUUUUGCUUUUGUUUGUUUGUUUAUUUUUUUAAAUUAGGCAUUCUGAAGUGUGAAACUUUUGUCCUCUAAUACUUGCUUAAAAGUCUGUGUCAGAGAAAUUCAUUUAACAUUACAACAAAGAUUUUUCCACCACUUAAACAAUGUUUCAUCAUGACUGAUUUCUCUAUCACAAUAUAGCCUUUAAGACAUAAUUCUCUCAAAUUAUGGGGUAUGCUAGCAGCCCUGUGAGCUAGGAACUGAAUAUACAGAUCUCCUGUUUUCAUUAAUAGCAGUUGCCUGCCUAAUUCACUGAGCAGCGCAGAGAAAAUGUAGCCCCGUGGGUCAACAUCAAUGGAUUCAAUGAGGUCUUCACCCUCUAAAAAUGUCAUUAGUGGGAGUAAUAGCUGGCUGUGGGCUUUAGUGCUUGCUACAGCUGCAGCAAGCUGGCUCUCCAGAGGGCAGAACUCAGAUGCAGUGGUGGUCAAGCAUGUUGGGGAAACUCCCAUCCGUCACUCACUUCUUGCCAGCCAUUUGGGGUCUUAAGAAGUCUGUAAAUCUUUUGGAGAGUUAGACUUUCAGCCUAAAAUUAGGCUCACCUUCGUGAACCAUGGGCUACUAUAUUUGGCAAUGUAGGAACAAUGUCUAUCACUCUUCUCCUUCCUUUGGCUUGUUGUGUAUCACCAGCCCACCUGACUGUGAAGGAAAGACUCUGACCCAUGGCCACCUACCUCCACCCCUCUCAAAAUUAAAUUUUCCUGUCAACCUAGGUCUUGAGAGGGGUUCAAUGCACACCAGGAGGUGCCCCUGUGCAGGUUUUCAUACCUGGUUCAUUUGCAUGGCUGAGGACCCACUUGGCAUGUUGAUCUAUGGGCUUUAGUCACAGACAGCGAGAAGGUUUGUUUGGACACCUCUAAAGUCUGAUUCUGGGUCAAAAAGUUGGAAUUAGAUAUGUUUUUCCUUAUCAUAAUAUAUUUAACUGCAUAUUAAAAUAUCUUUUUUUCUUGAAGAUGCUUUCUACAGAAAUGUCAGAUACUGUGGCUCUAGACUUGAUGAAUAAAAUGGGAUUUUAUAUAGUAACCCACCUUCUUGUAUUGCACUUCAAAAUGGAGAAAACUUGAGAACAUUUUUGCCUUAUGUGGCAGUUAGUAUUUUAAUCCACACACCAUCCUGAGUAUGGGAGUAGGGAAGGGUGGAUGAUCUAGGAAAACACUGUGUAAUCUUAAUCUUAUUAAAAAACAAUAUUAAAGUUUUCAAGCAUUAAUAUUGUAUACUUUAGGUCAUUAUUUCAUACAUAAAACAUAUAUUCAUAGUAGAUUUUUAUUAUACUUCUGUGUUCACCUAACUUUGUAGUCUCUUUUGAUUUUAUUUUUUUCUGUAGUUAUUUCCCACUUCUAAGUCAUUUGAUCUAUGUUUUCCUUUAGACCUCUGCCUCUUUAUAUAGAUUACUAGAUGGGAGUUCAAUUACAAUUUUGUCUCUGAUGUGGAUAUUUAUUUAGUGAAGGUUGUACAAAGACACAUCCUUCCUCAGGCUCCAUUUCAAACAAAGCUUCAAAUGCAAACUAAAAACAAAAUUUAAAAUAACUAAUCUGAGUAGUCCCAAGACGUGCUUCAUUUCAGCUUUCAUGCACAGCAAAAAUUUCAGUCUUCAGUGCUACAUAAUUUGAGUAGUUUCAGGUCUGCUAAUUUUCUACUCGUGGAUUUUACAUAUGGCUCCUUAUAAAAAAUAGUGGGCUCUUGAAGAAUGUAUGAUAGUACCAGAUACAUCUGUAAUUUCAGCAUUCAAAAUCCCUCUGUUAAAUAUGCAUUUUUUGCUUGGAUGUGGGAAUUCCUGUCUGCAUUUUGUGUUUUCCUCCUGCAAAUAAAUAUAUUACAAAACUUUA